rnacentral:lncRNA from 1 species
CUGACCUGCUGCGGGGAGGGAGCACAGGGCAAGGUCCUAGAGGACCUCUGCGGAGAUUUGUUGGCAAGCAGGUGUGCUGGCUCUGGUCUGCUCCUGCUGCUCCCUGCUCCUGCUCCUGCUCCUGUUCCUGCUCCUGCUCCUGUUCCUGCUCCUGCUCCUGCUCCCUGCUCCUGCUCCUGUUCCUGCUCCUGUUCCUGCUCCUGCUCCUGCUCCUGCUCCUGCUCCUGCUCCUGCUCCUGCUCCUGUUCCUGCUCCUGCUCCUGCUCCUGCUGCUCCUGCUCCUGUUCCUGCUCCUGCUCCUGCUCCUGCUCCUGCUCCUGCUCCUGUUCCUGUUCCUGCUCCUACUCCUGCUCCUGCUGCUCCUGCUCCUGUUCCUGCUCCUGCUCCUGCUCCUGCUCCUGCUGCUCCUGCUCCUCUCCUGCUCCUGCUCCCGGCGGUCUGUGCUGCCCUCGCACGGCUGUUCUGGGAGCGCUGCAAUAAUCCUCCAAAUCGAGCAAAUGCAUCCACAGAGCCAGGCUGCCCUGCUCGAGCCUGUAGGACACCCCGAACAGAGAUGGAUUUACUAACAAUGCCACCCUGCCGUGAGAUGUCAGCAGGGACCCCCGCCUUGGUGACACUCCCUGGCAGAUGCAGCAGGUGCUCUGCCCCAGGGCAGCUCACACAGCCCCUCAAUGACAGGCAGACACAUCCCCAAAGGAAAGAUGCUUCCAUCUCUCCCACAUCACCCCCUCAUCCCUAUUCCAAGAAAGAGGCCCAGACCAGCUUCCAGCAAUGACCUAUAUUCCAGGGACUUACUUGAGAUAGUGGGUUUAGACAUUCUGCAUAAAUCCCUCUUUUCUGGUCACACACUUCUUUAUCUGGCCUACUGCUCCCCUCUUCCCUGUGUACAGCCCAGCCACGCUGCUCCUGCCACCACAAGUGUGGCACCCUCUGCUCCACAGGUGUCAUUUCUCAUGGAGAACAGGUGUGAUCAGAUUUCCCUGGUGCCUCACAGGAAUCUCC